UGGGGAAUUUUGGACAAUGGGGGAAACCCUGAUCCAGCCAUCCCGCGUGUGCGAUGAAGGCCUUCGGGUUGUAAAGCACUUUUGGCAGGAAAGAAACGUCGCGGGUUAAUACCCCGCGAAACUGACGGUACCUGCAGAAUAAGCACCGGCUAACUACGUGCCAGCAGCCGCGGUAAUACGUAGGGUGCAAGCGUUAAUCGGAAUUACUGGGCGUAAAGCGUGCGCAGGCGGUUCGGAAAGAAAGAUGUGAAAUCCCAGAGCUUAACUUUGGAACUGCAUUUUUAACUACCGGGCUAGAGUGUGUCAGAGGGAGGUGGAAUUCCGCGUGUAGCAGUGAAAUGCGUAGAUAUGCGGAGGAACACCGAUGGCGAAGGCAGCCUCCUGGGAUAACACUGACGCUCAUGCACGAAAGCGUGGGGAGCAAACAGGAUUAGAUACCCUGGUAGUCCACGCCCUAAACGAUGUCAACUAGCUGUUGGGGGCCUUCGGGCCUUGGUAGCGCAGCUAACGCGUGAAGUUGACCGCCUGGGGGAGUACGGUCGCAAGAUUAAAAACUCAAAUG
rnacentral:rRNA from 1 species